AUCCUCCCAAGCCCCUCGCCCCAAUCCAGUAUUCCCCGUCUCCCUCCGGGUCUCCCAAGAAAAAUCGUCGCCGCCCAUCUGCCCCAUGGCCGCGGACAAAGCUUCUCCACUCCCCUACAAGCUGCUAGCUCCACUCUGCCAACGCCAUCGGCGCUGCUUCAAUGGGCUUGUACUCUGACUCAGAUCACGAGUUUGAUGAGGGCCUCAACCUGGUCCGCCAUUCCUGUAUCAUCACGGGUGACGCUGUUGUGCACAGCUCUCCUCCUACCUUGAUGCCGCUGGGAUCCACAACCCACCGGAAAGGAGUAGCAGCGCCCUCACAGGUUGGACCACUCCCGAUCCGUCGCCGCCUGCACAGCCAGGACGGGCCGACCACCGAGGGCAUCUUCCUCCACCACUUGCGAUGAGUGGCCGAGCCAUGGAGCGGAGGCGGCAGGGAGUAUUGAUUAUAUUGGAAGGCCAAGGUGCGCAUCGUGCCUUGGGCUCUCUGCAUCUCCACGGUCUCCCUUCCCCAUUAGUUUGCUACCCUUGAUUAUAUUGCUUUGGUUGGAAUUGGAUCCUCAUGUAGUUUCAUGCUGAUUUGAGCUACGCACUAAGGAUUAUUUCUGCACGAUGAUGUAUUUGGGAGAGAUUUUGAGUGGCUGCUACUAUUGGAUGCAAUUGUUGGAAUUGUCAGAGAUGGUGCAGAUAUUGAAGGAGUCUCAACAUUGAUGGUUACUUCCUGCCGAGAUUUGUGAAAUACUUAAGAACUACAAGAAUUUUCAUACAGCUCCAGUUUAGGCAAAUGGAUGGAGUACUUUGCUUUUGCAUCAUAUGUUUUUAAUGGCUUGGAGUUCAUCCUCCGCCACACUAACGACGACCCAAUGCCAUGGUGGUGGAGACCACAACAGAUGUCAAGGCGGAGGAGAGGUGUUUACAUUUUUUUCCUGGCAGUGAGUGUUUACACAAUCUAGACAUAUCUAUGAUGCUGGCUCCAGCCAGAUUUGGGGACUAUUAACCAAAAUAUUGAUUGCAACAAAUUAGUCUGGAUAAUAAAUUAUGUAUUUAGCUUCUCUAUAAGCGGCACCAGUGAGAAUGUGCAUGCUUAGACAAUUCAAUUUUAGUGAAUGCAUGCAAACUGAAUUAUGUAUUAGUUUGAGCACGUCAUUGAAAAGACGGUUCUUCUCUA